AUUGAACGCUGGCGGCAUGCCUUACACAUGCAAGUCGAACGGCAGCACGGGAGCAAUCCUGGUGGCGAGUGGCGAACGGGUGAGUAAGUAUCGGAACGUGCCCAGUCGUGGGGGAUAACGUAGCGAAAGUUACGCUAAUACCGCAUACGAUCUAUGGAUGAAAGCGGGGGAUCGCAAGACCUCGCGCGAUUGGAGCGGCCGAUAUCAGAGUAGGUCGUUGGUGGGGUAAAGGCUCACCAAGCCGACGAUCUGUAGCUGGUCUGAGAGGACGACCAGCCACACUGGGACUGAGACACGGCCCAGACUCCUACGGGAGGCAGCAGUGGGGAAUUUUGGACAAGGGGCGAAAGCCUGAUCCAUCCAUGCCGCGUGCAGGAUGAAGGCCGUCGGGUUGUAAACUGCUUUUGUACGGAACGAAAAGGUUUGGCCUAAUAAGCUGAGCUCAUGACGGUACCGUAAGAAAAAGCACCGGCUAACUACGUGCCAGCAGCCGCCGUAA
rnacentral:rRNA from 1 species